GUCCUUGCGGGCCGAACCGACGCCGUAUGGCGUACUUGCUUGGCGGACGAUCAAGCUAGGCCCCAGGGACGCCA
rnacentral:sRNA from 12 species